GCAAGUCGAGCGCGCCCUUCGGGGUGAGCGGCGGACGGGUGAGUAACGCGUGGGAACGUACCCUUUUCUACGGAAUAGCCUUUGGAAACGAAGAGUAAUACCUUAUACGCCCUUCGGGGGAAAGAUUUAUCGGAGAUGGAUUGGCCCGCGUUAGAUUAGAUAGUUGGUGGGGUAACGGCCUACCAAGUCUACGAUCUAUAGCUGGUUUUAGAGGAUGAUC
rnacentral:rRNA from 1 species